AACGUAGGAGACAAACGUUAUCCGGAGUUACUGGGCGUAAAGGGCGUGUAGGUGGUAAUGUAAGUCUGGCGUGAAAUUUUUCGGCUUAACCGGGAAAGGUCGUCGGAUACUGCAUGACUAGAGGACGGUAGAGGCGUGUGGAAUUCCGGGUGUAGUGGUGAAAUGCGUAGAGAUCGGAGGAACACCAGUGGCGAAGGCGACACGCUGGGCCGUACCUGACACACG
rnacentral:rRNA from 1 species